rnacentral:lncRNA from 1 species
GGUUUACAAAAUGCAAAAUCUUAUAUAAGCCAAUGGACUCCUUGAUUUCCUACCUCAGUGUACACUCAACUGUUUGUCACAUCAGUUUGUGUAUGUGCAAAUGUCAAUCUUUUGCUUUAAUUGCUACUGUAAAUAACUGCUUUGAAAGAUUACUUUCUAUUUUAUAAACCUAGUUGUCUCCAGAGUUUAAAUACGAUCUUUAAGGCACUUGGUUUAAAUUUCUGUCUACAUAUAAAGUUUAGCAUUAAGGGUUUAUUUUAAUGAUAUUCUGAUUAUUGGCCAAGUGUAAUGUUUUGUAAAAUAUAGCAUUACUUUUAAUAGCCAGCAUGUAAUACAAGUAACUACACUACCUCAUACCUAUAUCAUUUUCAAGUUGUAAUCCAGAGGGGCAGAUAGAUAAAAAAAAUUUUUAUCUUUGUCUUUUGGCCAUAAAGUGGGGAAGUUUUUAUAUAUUGCAUAGCAUUACGCAUUUAUGCCUAUUUUAACAUUAACUUCUAAAGAAGUUUUUUCUAAGAAAAUUUGUUUUAAGUUCAUUUUUUUUUUGAGGCUGCCGAAGACAAAUGACAGGAUUAUGUGUAUACAGUGUAUAUCUUUUCCUUCAUGCAGAAUUUUGGCAAAGUGUUUUUCAGUUUGUAUAUUGCAUAUUUACAUGAUCAUUGUUCCUUAUUUUAUGAGUUAGCCUUCUCACUGCUUGAUGAUUUUUCAAAAGCUGUUAGGUCUAACUUGAUAAAAUAACCAUACCUUAAAGUUUUUUUCAUUAUUUGAAUCCUGCAGCUAUAGCAAAUAAUCUGUCGUUAAAUUGUUAUAUUCAAGACAAAUAUGGAUAUAAAUCUAAGUUCUCCAUCUGUACAUUUUAUAACAUAAUUUACUAUAGCUUAAUGCUUAACUAAUUUAAAAUAAGGAAUCAGAUAUAUUUGGUGCAGUAGACGAUACAGGUUGCAUGUGGACACUCAGCCACAUUAACAACUUGGAAAAAAAAAUUAAAAAAUGGCAAUGUUAUAAUGAAUUCUCAGGUGAACUUUUUUCAGUUAUGGAACAUCUAUUUUGAAUUUGUAAAUAUUUUAACUGUUUUAUUAAGGCAUGUAAUAAACUAUUCUUUGAAACUUGUUGGGCAGAAUGAAAUUUUAAAGCCGUAAUGGCAAAGAUGGCAUACUGAUUGUAAAAUAAACAGAAAUAAUAACGGCUAUUGAUUUUUUUUUGUAUCUUUCAUAAUAUAAUUUUCUAACAAUGCAAUGAAACCACUAAGUUAAUAUAUCCAUAUCUGUUAAGAUCAUGUUUCAUUAAAAGUGAACUUCCGUAGUAUUUAAUUUACAUUUUCUUCCUAAUGUGCUUAUCCAAAUGUAGCAAAGCUAGAAACGUUAGAUGUUGGUAAUAAAAUGACAGUUCAAUAAAAUUCUCUGAAAUUGCU